rnacentral:rRNA from 1 species
GACGAACGCUGGCGGCGCGCUUAACACAUGCAAGUCGAGCGGAAAGGCCCUUUCGGGGUACUCGAGCGGCGAACGGGUGAGUAACACGUGAGUAAUCUGCCCCUGGCUUUGGGAUAGCCACCGGAAACGGUGAUUAAUACCGGAUACGACCACUUCUCGCAUGGGAUGGUGGUGGAAAGUUUUUCGACCAGGGAUGUGCUCGCGGCCUAUCAGCUUGAUGGUGAGGUAAUGGCUCACCAUGGCUUCGACGGGUAGCCGGCCUGAGAGGGUGACCGGUCACACUGGGACUGAGACACGGCCCAGACUCCUACGGGAGGCAGCAGUGGGGAAUAUUGGACAAUGGGCGGAAGCCUGAUCCAGCAACACCGCGUGAGGGAUGACGGCCUUCGGGUUGUAAACCUCUUUCAGCAGGGACGAAGCGCAAGUGACGGUACCUGCAGAAGAAGCACCGGCCAACUACGUGCCAGCAGCCGCCGUAA